GGUGCGAUCAUACCAGCACUAAAGCACC
rnacentral:rRNA from 2 species